rnacentral:rRNA from 1 species
CCCGCUGAACUUAAGCAUAUCAAUAAGCGGAGGAAAAGAAACUAACAAGGAUUCCCCUAGUAACUGCGAGUGAAGCGGGAAAAGCUCAAAUUUAAAAUCUGGCGGUCUUGCUGCCCUACGAGUUGUCUUCUGAAGCAUCUUUCGUCCGCGACCGAGCGCGAACCUCUCGUCUCGGAGGGACCUACAUAGAGAGAGACACUCCCGUCUCUCGAACGACCGACGCAUUCUGAUGUGAUCUCCUCUAGACGAGUCGAGUUGUAAUGCAAUUCAGCAUCAGAAUGGGUGGUUCCUUCUAUCUCUAGCUAUUUAUUAGAGACCGAUCGCUAACGAACACCUACCGUGAGAGAUGGAUAGCACUCUCUUUGGAGAGAGAGACAGACCGUGCGAGUGAUUGUUGAAAGGCACUCGUUGGCAGUCACGCUCGCCGACACUCACUCAUGCUCGCUUUUUCUGCUUGUCGCACUUCUCGGCUGCAUCGAUCUUCAUCUGUUUUGAUCAGCCGGUAAAGGACUGGGGGACUGCGGCAGCUCUCUGAGAUGUGUGAUGCCCACUCUGUCGCAUACUGAGGAAGGCAUUGAGGAACUCAGCGCGCCUCUAUGGUCAAGGCUUUGGCCUACGCAACGCGCUUAGGAUGCUGGCAUAAUGGCUUUAAGCGACCCGUCUUGAAACACGG